UACGAAGGGCGCAAACGUUGCUCGGAAUUAUUGGGCGUAAAGCGCACGUAGGCGGCUUUGCAAGUCGGAUGUGAAAUCCCUCGGCUUAACCAAGGAAGUGCAUCCGAAACUGCAGAGCUUGAGUACUUAAGAGGAUCGCGGAAUUCCCGGUGUAGAGGUGAAAUUCGUAGAUAUCGGGAGGAACACCAGUGGCGAAGGCGGCUCACUGGCCCGGUACUGACGCUGAGGUGCGAAAGCGUGGGGAGCAAACAGG
rnacentral:rRNA from 1 species